rnacentral:rRNA from 1 species
AUUGAACGCUGGCGGCAGGCUUAACACAUGCAAGUCGAACGCCCCGCAAGGGGAGUGGCAGACGGGUGAGUAACGCGUGGGAAUCUACCUAGUUCUACGGAACAACAGAGGGAAACUUCUGCUAAUACCGUAUACGCUCUAUGGGGGAAAGAUUUAUCGGAAUUAGAUGAGCCCGCGUAACAUUAGCUAGUUGGUGAGGUAAUGGCUCACCAAGGCGACGAUCUUUAGCUGGUCUGAGAGGAUGAUCACCCACACUGGGACUGAGACACGGCCCAGACUCCUACGGGAGGCAGCAGUGGGGAAUAUUGGACAAUGGGCGCAAGCCUGAUCCAGCCAUGCCGCGUGAGUGAUGAAGGCCUUAGGGUUGUAAAGCUCUUUCAGUGGGGAAGAUAGUGGCGGUACCCACAGAGGAAGCCCCGGCUAACUUCGUGCCAGCAGCCGCCGUAAUAC